rnacentral:rRNA from 1 species
AUUGAACGCUGGCGGCAGGCCUAACACAUGCAAGUCGAGCGAGCGGCGGACGGGUGAGGAAUAUAUGGGAAUCUGCCUGAUGGAGGGGGAUAACUACGGGAAACGGUAGCUAAUACCGCAUACAAUCAGAUGAACCCAUGUGGGAUUAGCUUGUAGGUGAGGUAACGGCUUACCUAGGCGACGAUCCCUAGCUGGUCUGAGAGGAUGAUCAGCCACACUGGAACUGAGACACGGCCCAGACUCCUACGGGAGGCAGCAGUGGGGAAUAUUGCACAAUGGGCGCAAGCCUGAUGCAGCCAUGCCGCGUGUAUGAAGAAGGCCUUCGGGUUGUAAAGUCCUUUCAGUCGGGAGGCGUUACCGACAGAAGAAGCACCGGCUAACUCCGUGCCAGCAGCCGCGGUAAUAC